rnacentral:lncRNA from 1 species
GGUGAGAGCGAAGCUCGAAUCCUCAUAUGGAAUUUACCGAUCCCAUAUAUACCGUGUUACGUCACUAGCACACUAUGUAACGAAUUUAUCUUACCGACUAUCUUAACGUGUGAAAUUAAGACUAGUGAUUCUCAAAAUGAGCAAGUCUUCAAUACUGUUAGCACUAAGAAAAUACUUCCAUUGAUCCUACAAAAACAGAUGCCAACAAUAACGACUUGUAAGGUUUAAAUGUGUUUUAUGAAUUUAUUUCAAUCUUAAUCAUCAAUUUCUUCGUCUGUUGGAACUUUUAAGAUUUUUUUUCAGUACCAUUUUGUUUUUUUAUAAAGGGACAUAACACCAUUUCUAACCGUGUAUGAAAUAAGCCCCGCCCCUUCUUACCUAAUAAGGAAUAUAAAGGAACGUAACUCCACUACUAAUCGUGUUUGAGAUAAGCCCC